GGGGGUAUAGUUCAGUGGUAGAGCAUUUGACUGCAGCUCAAGAGGUCCCUAGUUCAAAAUUUGGGUGCCCCUU